rnacentral:rRNA from 1 species
AUUGAACGCUGGCGGCAGGCCUAACACAUGCAAGUCGAGCGAGCGGCGGAAGGGUGAGUAAUGUAUGGGGCCAGCCCGAUAGAGGGGGAUAACUAGUGGAACCGGUGGCUAAUACCGCAUACUAUUGGCUAACCCAUAUGGGAUUGGCUAGUAGGUGGGGUAAAGGCUCACCUAGGCGAAGAUCGCUAGCGGGUCUGAGAGGAUGAACAGCCACACGGGGACUGAGACACGGCCCAGACUCCUACGGAGGCAGCAGUGGGGAAUAUUGCACAAUGGGCGCAAGCCUGAUGCAGCCAUGCCGCGUGUAUGAAGAAGGCCUUAGGGUUGUAAAGUACUUUCAGCGGGGAGGCGUUACCCGAAGAAGAAGCACCGGCUAACUCCGUGCCAGCAGCCGCGGUAAUUC